rnacentral:rRNA from 1 species
GAUGAACGCUGGCGGCGUGCCUAAUACAUGCAAGUCGAGCGAAUGGAUUAAGAGCUUGCUCUUAUGAAGUUAGCGGCGGACGGGUGAGUAACACGUGGGUAACCUGCCCAUAAGACUGGGAUAACUCCGGGAAACCGGGGCUAAUACCGGAUAAUAUUUUGAACUGCAUGGUUCAAAAUUGAAAGGCGGCUUCGGCUGUCACUUAUGGAUGGACCCGCGUCGCAUUAGCUAGUUGGUGAGGUAACGGCUCACCAAGGCAACGAUGCGUAGCCGACCUGAGAGGGUGCUCGGCCACACUGGGACUGAGACACGGCCCAGAAUCCUACGGGAGGUAGCAGUAGGGAAUCUUCCGCAAUGGACGAAAGUCUGACGGAGCAACGCCGCGUGAGUGAUGAAGGCAUUCGGGUCGUAAAACUCUGUUGUUAGGGAAGAACAAGUGCUAGUUGAAUAAGCUGGCACCUUGACGGUACCUAACCAGAAAGCCACGGCUAACUACGUGCCAGCCGCCGCCGUAA